GAUGAACGCUGGCGGCGUGCUUAACACAUGCAAGUCGAACGAAGCAUUUGCGACAGAUUUUUUCGGAAUGAAGUUGCUUAUGACUGAGUGGCGGACGGGUGAUUAACUCGUGGGUAACCUGCCUUGUACUGAGGGGUAGCAGCUGGAAACGGCUGGUAAUACCGCAUAAGCGCACAAUGUUGCAUGACAUGGUGUGAAAAACUCCGGUGGGAUAAGAUGGACCCGCGUCUGAUUAGCUAGUUGGUGAGAUAGCAGCACACCACGGCGACGAUCAGUAGCCGACAUGAGAGGGGGACCGGUCACAUUGGGACUGAGACACGGACCAGUAUGGUACGGGACGGAGCAGUGGGGAAUAUUGCAGAAGGGAGGAAAAUCUGACGCAGCGACGCGGGGUGAGUGAAGAAGUGAUUCGUAAUGUAAUUCUGUAUCAGAAGAGAAGAUAGUGACGGUAACGGACUAAGAAGCACCGGCUAAAUACGUG
rnacentral:rRNA from 1 species